rnacentral:rRNA from 1 species
GACGAACCGAGCGAACGUUGUUCGGAAUCACUGGGCUUAAAGGGCGCGUAGGCGGGCCGCCGCGUCCGGGGUGAAAUCCUCCCGCUCAACGGGAGAACGGCCUCGGAUACGGGCGGCCUGGAGGGGGGUAGGGGCGUGCGGAACUGUGGGUGGAGCGGUGAAAUGCGUUGAUAUCCACAGGAACUCCGGUGGCGAAGGCGGCACGCUGGACCCCACCUGACGCUGAGGCGCGAAAGCCAGGGGAGCGAACAGG